CGGCACGGUACGAUUCCGUGGGGGAAUUUCCCUAACGCUUAGUCCCUAUACCGUAAAGGCCAUUACUGUAUAGGGCGUUGCCAACUACGAAAGUGUCGGGG
rnacentral:sRNA from 12 species